GCAGUGAGCCAUGAUCAUGCCACUACACUUCAGCCUGGGCAACAGAGCAAGACCCUGUCUCUAUUGAAAAAAGUGGUGGGAAGUGGGGGAGAAACCCUGUGCUACAGCAGUCUUCCUGAUUCCUGCUUACCCAUCUCCUACUCCAUCCCCAGACAAUCUCUCUAUGGAUUGGCCUAUUCUGACAUUUCACAUCAGUCAUCUGUUGCUUAAUGACAGACACACAUUUGGAGAAAUGUGUCAUUAGGCAAUUUUCUUCAUGUGUACACAUCAAAGAGUGUCCUUACACAAACCUAAAUGGGACAACCUACUGCAGACCUAGGCUGUAUGACAGAACCUAUUGCUCCUCGGCUACAAACCUGUACAGCAUGCAACUCUACUCAACACUGUAAGAAACUGUAACACAGUGGUGAUUGUCUUAAUGUGGGUUUCCCCAGAAGUGGCCCUGAGGAAGGACUUGAGUGCAAGUAGCUUCCUGAGAAGUGGCGAGUGGAAAAAUGCAGCAGGGAAGUGGAGAAGAGAGAAGCGGAAGGGAAGACAGUUGCUAAAGCUGCAUUAUCACAAAAGCCACCCCUGUGGAAAACUGGAGCUCGGUUCCACUGGGGAACUCAUGGAGCCAGGGAAUGGGCUUUCCUCGUUCCCUUGGAGGAGACUGCGUGGGUUUCUAGACUAUACUAAGGUGAUUCUGAUGAACAGCAGCCUUGGAAACGACUGCCUUAGGGGACUUGCUGCUAUAAAUAAAGAAGACAGAUUUGUAAUUA